rnacentral:sRNA from 1 species
GUCUGGUGUGGUGGUGCACGCCUGUAAUCCAGUGGCUCGGGAGGCUGAGACAGGAGGAUUGUGAGUUCAAAGCCAGCCUCAGCAAUGGUAAGGCGCUAAGGAACUCAGUGAGACCCUGUCUCUA